rnacentral:ncRNA from 1 species
AGUAAGUUUUAUUCUUGCUUUUUUGUUCAGUUUUUGUUUGUUUUAUAUGUAAGUUUGUGCGUGAGUUAUGGUUAAGGUUUAAUCUAGAUGGUCCUUAGUCUUGGAUUAGGUGAUUCUCAUUAGUUAGUAUUGGUUUAUCAAGUAUUCUUGUGUCUAGCAAUUCAUUUUAGUUUCGGUUGAAUUAGGUGCCAGCAGCCGCGGUUAUACCUUGGAAGCGUUUGAAUGUAUUUGGCGUAGGUAGUUGUAUUAUUUGGAUUUGUGUGGGAUUUUGUUAUGUUUAGUUGUUAGGUGAAAUUUUUAUUAUUGUUAUUGUCUUUUUUAUGUUUGGAGGCUAUUAAAUUCUUUUUAUAGACUAGGAUUAGAUACCCUAUUAUUUUAGAACGUUAAAUGGUUUAGUGCCUGAGUAGUAUUAGUUAUGUUCUUGAAACUUAAAGAAUUUGGCGGUAUCUUAUUCCGUCCAGAGGAAUCUGUCUCGUUAUCGAUAGUCCGCGUUGGACCUUACUUAGUUUUAUGUGGUUUGUAUACCGCCGUUUAUUGAUUAUCUUUUUAGGGUUGUAAAAUUUUCUGGUCUCUUAAGUUUGGUUGAUUUCAGGUCAAGGUGCAGCUUGUUUCUAAGUGGAUGAUGGAUUACAUUGUUAUUUGUUUUGAAUUGUUGGUUGUAAUAUUGGCAUGAAAUUGGAUUUGGUUGUAAUGUUUUGGAGAUUGUUUUCAUGAUAAUUGGUUCUGAGAUAUGUACACAUCGCCCGUCGCUCUCGUUUAUUGUUAAUGAGAUAAGUCGUAACAAAGUGGUUGUACCGGAAGGUGCGGCUGGAGUGAG